rnacentral:rRNA from 1 species
CCUACGGGAGGCAGCAGUAGGGAAUUUUCCACAAUGGGCGAAAGCCUGAUGGAGCAACGCCGCGUGGGUGAAGAAGGUCUUCGGAUCGUAAAACACUGUUGUUAGAGAAGAAAGUGCGUGAGAGUAACUGUUCACGUUUCGACGGUAUCUAACCAGAAAGCCACGGCUAACUACGUGCCAGCAGCCGCGGUAAUACGUAGGUGGCAAGCGUUAUCCGGAUUUAUUGGGCGUAAAGGGAACGAAGGCGGUCUUUUAAGUCUGAUGUGAAAGCCUUCGGCUUAACCGGAGUAGUGCAUUGGAAACUGGGAGACUUGAGUGCAGAAGAGGAGAGUGGAACUCCAUGUGUAGCGGUGAAAUGCGUAGAUAUAUGGAAGAACACCAGUGGCGAAGGCGGCUCUCUGGUCUGUAACUGACGCUGAGGUUCGAAAGCGUGGGUAGCAAACAGGAUUAGAUACCCUUGUAGUC